UGAUCUCGACUUAGGAGUCCUAUAGGAUUUAUUUAUCAAUAAUUAAACGUAUAAGACUAGCGGUUCUAUGACAUUUGUUUACUUCUUAAUAAAUGCAUCAGGCUGAGGGUUCUAUGACAUUUUUUUUACCAGUUACUAAACAUAACAGACUAGUGAUUCAAUAACCUAAAUUUAAACAUAUCACAUUAAGGAUUCUAUAGAAUUUGUCUAUCAAUUACUAAACACACCAGCUAAACAAGUACACGUACUGAAAUGAAAGUCAGUAGUUCAUAAUAUGUAUAUAUAGAGAAUAUAAUAUUAUUUGGAGUGAGACUAAAAGUAUAUAGUGAGAAUAUUUCAGUGCAGUUUUAUGAAAAACCCUCAUCACACACACAUGUGAAGCUAGGAAAUAGUAGAUAUAAGGAAGAAGGUUAUAAGAUCAGUUAAAAAAACCACGUGAGUGUAUAAAUAUAUAUUUCACUUUAAUUGCAGAGGCGCAUAACUAAGUAAAGAUGUAUAUUCUAAGGCAUGACUUCCUGUAGAAGCACCAAAUCUCUCAGAAAUCUUUACCUCCAACUUUUAAAAAAGUAACCACAGGUCAUUAACUAGUGGUUAGUAAUGUGACUGAUAACAAACCUAGAGUAAGUUUAUGAGACAAAUGGUAACCUGAGGUCAGGGUAAACACGUCAAUAAGCAUGUAGCAAAUGAACAUUCAUGUUCAAGGCUAUUCAUGAACUGCAGACCUUAGUAGCCCUAAGCUGCUGGAAUCAGGAGAAAAAGGGCUCUUGUAUAACACCUGUGACCACAAGUUGGGUUACUAAAUGAAUGAUAGCCAGUGCUGUAUACCACUACGCAAGAUAACCUCUACCAAUUUCUGUCCAAAAGCUGGGUAGAUUUUAGCAUUCAUCACUCAGCAUCAAGAAAAGACUAAGACAGUGACGAGAAGUUUCUAGCGAAUUCUACACCACAGACAUGGAAACUUGCGUGAGAACAAGCAUCCCUGUGGUAUUGAUAGCAUUUGUUGUAGCAGAACAGGAUUGGUCAACACACUUGGAGACGACUGAAAACGAUAUUUUGAAAUAUAUUGAAGAGCCAGUCAGAGUAUGCGAUCUGAAUUCAGGAAUAUAUUCAAUACCAGUAUUAUUAUUAUGUAACUACAAAAUAUUUGGAGGAAUUCAGGAUAAAAUAUGUGAAAAGAGAAUAAUUAUAUUACAGUCGUAUAUUUUCACUGAAUUCAUACACCUGAUUCUUGGAUAUUUA